CACGUAGGGUGCGAGCGUUGUCCGGAAUUAUUGGGCGUAAAGAGCUCGUAGGCGGUGUGUCGCGUCGGCCGUGAAAACCUGCAGCUUAACUGUGGGCUUGCGGUCGAUACGGGCAUCACUGGAGUUCGGCAGGGGAGACUGGAAUUCCUGGUGUAGCGGUGAAAUGCGCAGAUAUCAGGAGGAACACCGGUGGCGAAGGCGGGUCUCUGGGCCGAUACUGACGCUGAGGAGCGAAAGCGUGGGGGGCGAACAGG
rnacentral:rRNA from 1 species